rnacentral:snoRNA from 11 species
AUGACCUUACUUGAACAGAAUCUGUUCUAUAGGCUCGUACCUCUUCCUAAGAAGACGAGGAUCGUUGUUAGUCCAUCUUCUUGGGCGGUUGUUUGACGGACA